AAUUAUUUUUUAAUUUUAUUUUUUGGUAUUGCAUAUCAGUAAAAGUUUUUAUCAUAGUAAUGAAUAAUAGAAAUAAAGUGUCAAGGUUGUAUUAUUUUUUGUUUUUACGAAAUUAAUUAUAAUUAUAACUUUGUAUUGAUAUAACGUACUUUUAUUUCUGUUUUUUUUUGUUUUAUAGUUAAGUUAUAUUUUUUAUUAUUUUAUUGUUUUUGGCAUUUUUUAUUUGAAUGUUGUUCGUUUUGUUUAAAUAACGUUUAUUUUUUUUUUUUUUUUUUUGGUUAACUUUUUAAUUAUUUGUUAUUUUUGUAAUUGUUUCUUUAUUUUGUCCCUGUUUAUUUUUAUGUUUCUUAUAUUCGAUUUUUGAUCUAUUUUAUUGUAUUUUUGAGUAAUGUUCAUUGAAAACUCGGGUUGUUUUUUAUAAUGCUAUCUUCUGCUCUAUAAUUUUUCUUUAAAUUUUAGCCUUUGAAGCAAGUAUCAAAGGGGCCGAAUUGUUGUCUUAUUAAGGGCUUUUUAAGUAUGAAUGGAGGUUUUAACGAUUUUUUGUUUAUGUUUUUUAUGAAUUUUUUUUUUAUUAAAAAUUAUUGAUUAAGUUACUCCAAAGAUAAGUCUUCGUAAAUUUUGGUUUGGUAUUUAACAAAGAUUUUCUUGGGGAUGGAAUUUAAUAAUUUAUUUUUUUUACUAUUUUUAUUUUUAAAAAUUACUUUGGAGUUAAUAGAGUUGUGGGAAUGCAAAUAGUUUUUUUAUAUUAGUGUGCUGCGCUAUAUCGAUGUUGCAGAUUUUUCGUGGGAUGAGAGAGAAUUUUUUUUUUUAAAUUGUUCUUUUUGUAUAAAAAUUGAACUUGAUAUUGUUUAGUUCGUGUGAGACAGAGCGGUUUAUCUUGUGUAUUAUUUGUUGUUAUCGGGGUUAGUACGAAAGGAAAAUUAUGAAGGUUAAUAUUUAUGAUCUUUUUAUUUUUAUGGAAUUU
rnacentral:rRNA from 1 species